rnacentral:sRNA from 1 species
AAUCUGCUGUGGGCAAAUGAAGUGGAUAUGUACAUCCAGGCCGCCAGCGGUGAUGAUUUUACCUUCUCCGGCAAUGGCCUCGGUGGGUGGCCCUACAAUGAUAUCUACGUCGGGCUGGAUAUCCGGAUUGCCAGCCUUGCCGAUGCCAGUGAUGCGACCAUUGGUGAUGCCAAUAUCGGCCUUCACAACGCCCCAAUGGUCCAGGAUUAGAGCGUUUGUGAUGACUGUAUCUGCGGCGCCAUCAGCACGGCUUACCUGACUUUGGCCCAUACCGUCGCG